rnacentral:rRNA from 1 species
AUAAUGGGUCAGCGACUUAUAUUCUGUAGCAAGGUUAACCGAAUAGGGGAGCCGAAGGGAAACCGAGUCUUAACUGGGCGUUAAGUUGCAGGGUAUAGACCCGAAACCCGGUGAUCUAGCCAUGGGCAGGUUGAAGGUUGGGUAACACUAACUGGAGGACCGAACCGACUAAUGUUGAAAAAUUAGCGGAUGACUUGUGGCUGGGGGUGAAAGGCCAAUCAAACCGGGAGAUAGCUGGUUCUCCCCGAAAGCUAUUUAGGUAGCGCCUCGUGAAUUCAUCUCCGGGGGUAGAGCACUGUUUCGGCAAGGGGGUCAUCCCGACUUACCAACCCGAUGCAAACUGCGAAUACCGGAGAAUGUUAUCACGGGAGACACACGGCGGGUGCUAACGUCCGUCGUGAAGAGGGAAACAACCCAGACCGCCAGCUAAGGUCCCAAAGUCAUGGUUAAGUGGGAAACGAUGUGGGAAGGCCCAGACAGCCAGGAUGUUGGCUUAGAAGCAGCCAUCAUUUAAAGAAAGCGUAAUAGCUCACUGGUCGAGUCGGCCUGCGCGGAAGAUGUAACGGGGCUAAACCAUGCACCGAAGCUGCGGCAGCGACGCUUAUGCGUUGUUGGGUAGGGGAGCGUUCUGUAAGCCUGUGAAGGUGUGCUGUGAGGCAUGCUGGAGGUAUCAGAAGUGCGAAUGCUGACAUAAGUAACGAUAAAGCGGGUGAAAAGCCCGCUCGCCGGAAGACCAAGGGUUCCUGUCCAACGUUAAUCGGGGCAGGGUGAGUCGACCCCUAAGGCGAGGCCGAAAGGCGUAGUCGAUGGGAAACAGGUUAAUAUUCCUGUACUUGGUGUUACUGCGAAGGGGGGACGGAGAAGGCUAUGUUGGCCGGGCGACGGUUGUCCCGGUUUAAGCGUGUAGGCUGGUUUUCCAGGCAAAUCCGGAAAAUCAAGGCUGAGGCGUGAUGACGAGGCACUACGGUGCUGAAGCAACAAAUGCCCUGCUUCCAGGAAAAGCCUCUAAGCAUCAGGUAACAUCAAAUCGUACCCCAAACCGACACAGGUGGUCAGGUAGAGAAUACCAAGGCGCUUGAGAGAACUCGGGUGAAGGAACUAGGCAAAAUGGUGCCGUAACUUCGGGAGAAGGCACGCUGAUAUGUAGGUGAAGUCCCUCGCGGAUGGAGCUGAAAUCAGUCGAAGAUACCAGCUGGCUGCAACUGUUUAUUAAAAACACAGCACUGUGCAAACACGAAAGUGGACGUA